UUAGCAGGCCACCUUAUCGCUGCAAGUAUGGGCAACCGUGCUUGGAGAGGAAAGUCCGGACACCAAAGUGCAGCAUAGCGGGUAACGCCCGUCCGCCGUGAGGCGAGGACCAGUGCAACAGAAAGCAAGUACAGUUCGGCUGUAGUGAAAUCGGCAAACUCUAUGCGGUGAAACGCCAUGUAAACCAACGUUUGAGGGUUGCACGCCCGAGUUGGAGGGUAGGCGGUUGGAACACUUGGGUAACCAUUUGUCUAGAUAAAUGAUAAGGAUAUACAGAAUCCGGCUUAUGGCCUGCUUUUAAU
rnacentral:RNase_P_RNA from 1 species